rnacentral:rRNA from 1 species
CCUACGGGAGGCAGCAGUGAGGAAUUUUGGUCAAUGGACGAGAGUCUGAACCAGCCAAGCCGCGUGAAGGAUGACUGCCCUAUGGAUUUUAAACUUCUUUUAUAAAGGAAUAAAGUGAGGCACGUGUGCCUUUUUGUAUUUACUUUAUGAUUAAGGAUCGGCUAACUCCGUGCCAGUAGCCGCGGUAAUACGGAGGAUCCGAGCGGUAUCCGGAUUUAUUGGGUUUAAAGGGAGCGUAGAUGGGUUGUUAAGUCAGUUGUGAAAGUUUUCGGCUCAAACGUAAAAUUGCAAUUGAUACUGGCAGUCUUGAGUACAGUUGAGGUAGGCGGAAUUCGUGGUGUAGCGGUGAAAUGCGUAGAUAUCACGAAGAACUCCGAUUGCGAAGGCAGCUGACUAAACUGCCACUGACAUUGAUGCACGAAAGUGUGGGUAUCAAACAGGAUUAGAUACCCGGGUAGUC